UUAUCCAUGCUGAUUUCAAUGUGCACUGUCAGCCCUGCAUAUCCUUGCAUCUGGAAUUUUUCUAAAAAAUAAAAAUUGCCAAAAAAAAAAAAAAAAAAAAAAAAAAAGAUGAGAUCUAUGCCCCUACUACAAUUCAGUUACAUUAGGAAGAAAGCUGGGAGGCAUAAAAGGUGCUGAAAUCUACUGAAAGAAGAAAUCAUCUACUUCUACUGAAAGGCAGAAAUCUUCUUCCAGACCCUGAUGGCAGAGAUGAACCUACAAACUCUGUUGGUAAAUUUCUCCUAACUUGGGCUGAAUCUGCACCAGAGAAGUUCCCCUGGAGGUGUGAGAAAUUAAUCGACAUAAGGACUGGAAAAGAGAGAGAAGGGAAGUUGCAGAAGACUGUCUGAACAUAUGAUAGCCAUCCUUCUUACUAUAAAGGGGAGAUUUUUCCUGAUGAACUGAAAAUGUAUCAACAAAACUCCUAUGGGGACUCAUAACAGUGAAAUUAGAAAUGAAGAUUUACCUUCACUGCAAAAUACAGAUCCUGGUCGGAGACUGAAGAGUGCAUUACAGUUUUCAAAGGUGGGCAUGUGAAGAGGGAGGCUACUGGGUUUUAGGAGAGCUUCCUGUUUUGUUUUCUCUUAAGAUAUUACAGCUGUCUUUUCUUCCUUUUUCUGUACAACCUGUAAUACCAAGAAGAACUCUUCUGCACGAAAAUCAACUGCUGAUUUUCUUAAAAUUUUAUUGAUGCUGUCCUGAAGUCAUGCAAAGCUGUAGCUGUGCUCAAGUGACUGAGAAUUUAACUACAUGUUGUGUAGCAUGUUGUGGGAUGUGCUACAGAUAUAGCUAAACAGUCACAUGUUAAUUAUACACACCUUAUAGAAAAAAAAACAAACAAAGGAAACAGAGUGAAAUAUUGUGCUAAUAGUAUGUUAUUUUAAUAUACAAAUAUUU
rnacentral:lncRNA from 1 species